CUUCCAUAUGCCGUGGGUGCGGCCCUACAACAAAAAUGAAAACAAAUAACAAGCGUUUGCAAGGAUGUGGAGGAAAAGGAACCCUCUGACACUGCUGGUGGGAAUGUAAAUUGGUGCAGCCACUGUGGAAAACAGGACGGAGGUUCCUCAAAAAACUAAACAGAGAAAAAACUACCAUACGAUCCCGCCAUCCACUCCAGGGCAGGCAUCUGAAAAAAAUAAGACAUUCAUUCAAGAAGAUACAUGAACCCCAAUGUUCACAGCAGCACCGUUUGCAAUAGGCAAGACGUGGAAGCAGCCUAAAUGUCCAUCAGCAGAUGACUUAGUAAAGAAGAGGCGGCACAGACACACGACGGAAUACUCCUGGGCCAUAGAAAAGCAUGACAUUUCGCCAUGUACAACAACAUGGAUGGAUUUGGAGGCAGCAGGCCGUAAGUCCGAGAAAGACAAACACUGUGUGAUGUCCCUUACAUGUGACAUCUGAAACAUACAACAAAGUAGUGAAUAAAACCGAGGAGAAGCAGACUCCCAGAGGUCGAGAAUGACCCAGCGGUGACGGUGGGGAGAAGCAGGCGAGGGCGGGGAACAGGCAGGUGAUGGGGCCGUGGGAAAUCGGAGUGGGAAACUCUGAAACUGCAAAGCACUAUAGAGUGCAAAAAAUCAUUCAUUCAAUAAAUUAAAAUGUUGCCUUAAUUACAAACGAAAGCAAGAGAUAAUAACCUGCACUAUUUCUUAAACUUACGGAGAUAAAAGAGGAAGCAGAAGGAAGGAAGGCUCGAAAAUCUUAGCGUGCUAGAAACAAAAUACCAAUGCACAAUAUGGUUGUUGAAAAAAUGAGAGAAUCCCACUCGCUGACCUAAUGUUUGUUUCACGCGAGAUGACGGAGGUACAGAAAGUGGGAAAUGACAAGGAGGAAACCUCCAAGAAAUAAAAGGAAUUACAGGCAGCAGAAAAGGGCAGAGGUUUCUGGAAAUAAGCAGAGCCCUCACCUGCACCGGGCCAGAGCUCGGUGGGGACAGCGGUGGCCCCAGCAGGCCUUCAAAUCGUGGGCUGAGUGAGGUCUCGUCGCAUCCCUCCGCCCCCGACCAGAAGAAGGCGACGAUCUAACGGAACUGCUCCGUGUCCAGGUGUUCCCGCAAUGUUCCUUCUAUUUUGUUCUUGAGCAGGAAUAUAUACAUUUUCUAUACAGCAAACGGUCCCAGGGUUGCUGGCCCUGGCAGUUUUGCAAACACCUCGAUCUUCCCGUCACCCCUCCGACCAUGCUGAACCCUCACCUCCCAAAGUCCCUGUGUCUCAGCUGAAACGAAUCUGACUCGUAACCAUGAGAUUGUGGGUUCGAUCUCUGGCCUCGCUCAGUGGGUUAAGGAUCUGGCGUAGGCCGGUGGCUGCAACUCGGCUUCCACCUGGGAACCUCAGUAUGCCGUGUGUGUAGCCCUAAAAAAAAAAAAAAAAAUCAGCAAUUCCCCUCUGGAUAUUUAUCUGAAGAAAAAGAAAACACUAAUUCGAAUGGAUAUAUUCACCCGUGUCUUCAUUGCAGCAUUAUUUGCAGUAGCCAAGAUAGGGAAACAACCUAAGUGCCCAUCAAUAGAGGACUGGGGAAAGAAAAUGUGAUGUACACACACACACACACACACACACACGGGAAUAUUACUCAGCCAUAAAAAGGAAAUCCUGCGUUCGCAACAACAUGGAUAAACCUUGAGGACACUGAGAAAUAAGCCAGACAAAGAUAAACACGGUGUGACCUCAUUUAUAUGUAGAAUCUAAAACAGCAAAUUUAUCAAAACAGAACAGAUUGGUGGUUGCCAGCAGCAGGAGUGGUGGAGGGGGAGGAAGUGAGAAAAAAUAGUCCAAAAAAUGUAAUUUUAAUGGCUUCCAGCCGUUGAUUCUUUCUUUCAUGGACAGUGCCUUUAUUUCUUCUCUUCCCGAUUACUUUUCUGGAUGACAUCGAUAGCAACUAUUCCUUCCUACCUGCUCAGUAACUGCUGAAUCUGUGGACACGGGUGCCCUUUGAUCCAGUGGACACACUUUUUAGGCUCUUUCUGAAGCAGCACCCCCAGGUUCAUGGAGAAUUGUAGACUAGAGCCCUGACGGCAGUCACCUGUCACAGUGGUCGAUUCAGCCUCAUCCACCCAUGCGAAGGGGGCGUCCAGACUGGGGAGGGGUGUUCAGGAAAGGAAAUAUGGUGAAAAUACAGGUAUUGGCACAAAAACUGUCCAAAAUGUAUUCCUAGUGGGCAAAGGUGCCUGUCCUUCUGCCCAGUGUGUGCAGGGGCUGAAUGCUGGCCCCAAAGGCAAUGUCCAACCUGAAUCCCCAGGCCUGGGAACCAAACCUUGUUUGGAAAUAGGGUCUUUGCAGAGGGCAUGAAGUGAAGGCCUGAGAAGAGGUCGCCCCAGACAAGGCAGGCCCUGACAAGUGUCCUCUGAGGAGAGGGGAGAGGAGAGACAGGGGAGGGGGCCGGCAGGUGGGGUUGGCGGCAGGUGGGGGGGUGGACUCUUUCCUCAAAGCUGCCACACCCACCACACCCUGGCUUAGAACUUCCGGCCUCCAGAACUGAGAGAAAAAUUUCUGUUACUUUAAGCCACCAAUUUUGUGGUGCUGUCACCACAGUCCCAGCAAAGUGUAAAACCAUUUAUUUUCAAAAUAAGCAAUGACGAUUUACCAGAUUGGCGUCUGUACAAGUUUAUCUGGAGGUGGGGCUUUGGUGAUUCCUUCCAUUCUAAUUUGUGCAUUUCUGUAAAGUCUGAGUUUUCAGUAACUUUGUUUUCUGUUAAUAGGAAAAUGCCACCAAAAUAUCAAAUGUCUGUAACCGGCUGCAGGAGUGACCGAGGCACCAGACCAUGGUGCCUUGAUGGGGGUGGGGGGCGGCGGGCAGGAUGAGGCGGGGUCGCCCAGGUGGUGGGCCCUGGGGCGGGGCAGCCCCGGUCCCCGGUGACCUUUGUCUUUGAUGACAGGCCUGGGAAGCCUCCUCCCCAGCAGGGCUGGCGGGGGUGGGGGGGCGCGCUCUCAGACCCGAGGCGGUGGAGCGAGCCCGGCGGGCUGGGCCUUGCGGUCCCCCUUCUCCGUGAGGCUAUUCGUCUUCCGCGGUCCUGCACAGCCUCUGAGGAGCGCGGGGGGGCGGGGGCCGCUGAGGGCGUGUUCCCCCCAGAAACAUGCUACUUCCCCAGGGCCAGGACGAAUCUGACUUCCAUCAGGAGGGGCUUCCACCCUGCUGAGGGCCACCAAAAUGCCGGCGUCCCUGGAUGCCCUUCGACGCGGCCUGAUGUUUCUUAUGGUGACUCAACUCCUCUACAUCAACCACAAGAAGGAUGUUUCCUGAGGCUACAGUUCUUAGAAAAAUCCUUUUUAGAAAUGGUAGGAGGAGAGUUCCCGUUGUGCUCGGUAGUGUAGAAUCCAACUAGUAUCCAUGAGAACUCCGGUUCAGUCCCCGGCCUCAGCGGGUUAAGGAUCUGUCGUUGCGGUGAGCUGUGGUGUAGGUCAAAGACACAGUCGGGAUCCCACGUUGCUGUGGCUGUGGUGUAGGCUGGCAGCUGCAGCUCUGAUUUGAGCCCUUGCUGCAGGUGCAGCCCUAAAAGACACACACACACACACACACACACACACACACACACACACACACACACAGGAUGUGGGGGGCGAAGGGGAAGACUUCCUCUUCCCUUUGGGACAGAGCCCAUGGAGACAAAGAGCCAGAAAACAGGACCAAGUCUCUGAAGUGCCGCAGGCCAGGCCGGGGUGAGUCAGCUCAGGAUGGAGGUCUGGCUGCAGAGGUCCCCCAGGUCUGUCUGGGCUGGAGCCGGCUGGCCUCCGGUGCUGGUGACUGGGCAGCCUCCCUUUCCGCUGCAGAAUGCAUGGCUUGCUCGGGGCCCAGGAGGCGCAUUCCGAUGGCCUGCAGGAUGGGCUGUGAACCUGACAGGGCGCUGGCCUCCGAGCACAUGCCUCAGGUGCGAAGGGGUGAGCAGGGCUGGUGCCCUCAGCCCGGCCACAAGAGCUUUCUUGCUCUGCGCCUGGCCCACACUGGCAGCCCUGGAGUACCCCCC
ensembl:lncRNA